UCCGGCUUAACGCCGGCAGUCUCCCAUGAGUCCCCAACAUAACUUGCUGGCAACAUGGAACGAGGGUUGCGCUCGUUGCGGGACUUAACCCAACAUCUCACGACACGAGCUGACGACAACCAUGCACCACCUGUUUACGAGUGUCCAAAGAGUUGACCAUUUCUGGCCCGUUCUCGUAUAUGUCAAGCCUUGGUAAGGUUCUUCGCGUUGCAUCGAAUUAAUCCGCAUGCUCCGCCGCUUGUGCGGGUCCCCGUCAAUUCCUUUGAGUUUUAGCCUUGCGGCCGUACUCCCCAGGCGGGGAACUUAAUGCGUUAGCUUCGGCACGGACGGAGUCGACACCGCCCACACCUAGUUCCCAUCGUUUACGGCGUGGACUAC
rnacentral:misc_RNA from 1 species